rnacentral:tRNA from 1 species
GCUGGGUGGUGCAGUAGUUAGAGCACUGGGCUUAGAAUCAAGAAGACUCAUCUUCAUGAGUUCAAAUCUCAUCUCAGACA